UACGGGGGGGGGGCAAGCGUUGUUCGGAAUUACUGGGCGUAAAGGGCUCGUAGGCGGCCAACUAAGUCGGAUGUGAAAUCCCCCAAGCUUAACUUGGGAACUGCAUCCGAUACUGGAUGGCUUGAAUCCGGGAGAGGGAUGCAGAAUUCCAGGUGUAGCGGUGAAAUGCGUAGAUAUCUGGAGGAAUACCGGUGGCGAAGGCGGCAUCCUGGACCGGCAUUGACGCUGAGGAGCGAAAGCUAGGGGAGCAAACGGG
rnacentral:rRNA from 1 species